rnacentral:rRNA from 1 species
AGGACGAACGCUGGCGGCGUGCUUAACACAUGCAAGUCGAGCGGUAAGGCCCUUUCGGGGGUACACGAGCGGCGAACGGGUGAGUAACACGUGGGUGACCUGCCCUUAGCUCUGGGAUAAGCCUGGGAAACUGGGUCUAAUACCGGAUAUGACCUCGCGAUGCAUGUCGUGGGGUGGAAAGCCUUGUGCGGCUAGGGAUGGGCCCGCGGCCUAUCAGCUUGUUGGUGGGGUGAUGGCCUACCAAGGCGACGACGGGUAGCCGGCCUGAGAGGGCGACCGGCCACACUGGGACUGAGACACGGCCCAGACUCCUACGGGAGGCAGCAGUGGGGAAUCUUGCGCAAUGGGCGAAAGCCUGACGCAGCGACGCCGCGUGAGGGAUGACGGCCUUCGGGUUGUAACCUCUUUCAAGUGGGACGAUAAUGACGGUACCGCAGAAGAAGCUCCGGCCACUACGCGCCAGCAGCCGC